rnacentral:rRNA from 1 species
GACAGAGGUGCCAAGCGUUAGGCGGAAUCACUGGGCUUAAAGCGUGUGUAGGCGGUCCACUAAGUCGGGUGUGAAAGCCCUGGGCUCAACCCAGGAAGUGCACUCGAAACUGGCGGGCUAGAGUAUCGGAGAGGUUGGUGGAAUUCUCGGUGUAGAGGUGAAAUUCGUAGAUAUCGAGAGGAACACCGGUGGCGAAGGCGGCCAACUGGACGAAUACUGACGCUGAGACACGAAAGCGUGGGGAGCAAACAGG